AAGUAAAAAUGUAUUGAGAAAAAAACUGGGAAAUUAGAGGACUCGUUCAGUAGCUUAGGGAAGAAAGAAAAAGGUGUGGAGGAUAUCAACGUAACUCAGGAAGUUCCUGGAACUGAAGGAUGUGAUUUCCGGGCUUCGAAGGAGUGAAGUGCUCAGUCCACUGAAAAGUAAACCAGCUCUGCACUGUCCAGUCCGCCACACUAAGAAGUAAACACCCCAAGCUCCUGGCAAGGAAAAUGGAUCAAAGGCACCAAGUCAUCAGAAAGGAUUCAGACUUCCAACUAACGCAGUGCCAUCAGAUCUCUAAAGGGGAAUUAUUUCGAACCUAGACUCUAUACUCAAAUUAUCAUUGAAAUGUGAAGACAGAAUAAACACACAUUCAGACACACAAGGUCUCAAAAAGACUCCUCCCCAGCUCUUUUCUCAGGAAGCUGCUAGAGGGCAUUCUCCACAAAAAUAAGGGACUAAGCCAAAAAAAAAAAAAAAAGAAAGAAAUAAAGAAAAAUGGGCUACGGAAAAUGGUAAAUUUAACAAAGGAGGA